rnacentral:rRNA from 1 species
UUUAAAUAGCUGCAGUAUUUUAACUGUACAAAGGUAGCAUAAUAAUUAGUCUUUUAAUUGAGGUCUAGAAUGAAUGGUUUGUCAAGAAAAUAACUUUAUUGAGUUAAAUAAAUUUGAAUUUUAUUUUUAAGUUAAAAAGCUUAAAUUUUUAAAUGGGACGAUAAGACCCUAUAGAUCUUUAAAUUUUUAAAUUUUGUUGAUUUUUAGUUGGUUAAGUUUAAUUUUUUAAAAAUUUUUUGUUGGGGUGACAGUUAAAAUUUUAAAACUUUAGUGAUUUAAACCAUAAAUAGGUGAAUUUUUGAUCUUGAAUUUUGGAUUUUUAGAAUAAGAUACCUUAGGGAUAACAGCACAAUAUUUUUAGAUAGUUCAUAUUGAAAAAUUUGUUUGUGACCUCGAUGUUGAAUUAAUUAAAGAUUUAUAAGCAGAAAUUUAAAUUUCUAGGUCUGUUCGACCUUUAAAAAAUUACG